rnacentral:rRNA from 1 species
UACGUAGGGAGCAAGCGUUGUCCGGAAUCAUUGGGCGUAAAGCGCGCGUAGGUGGCCCCAUCAGUCCGCUGUGAAAGUCAAAGGCUCAACCUUUGAAAGCCGGUGGAUACUGUGGGACUAGAGUACGGAAGAGGCGAGUGGAAUUCCUGGUGUAGCGGUGGAAUGCGCAGAUAUCAGGAGGAACACCGGUGGCGAAGGCGGUGAUCUGGGCCGAUACUGACGCUGAGGAGCGAAAGCGUGGGGAGCGAACAGG